rnacentral:lncRNA from 1 species
UUUUUUUUUUUUUGUCUUUUUGUCUUUUUAGGGCCCCACAUGCAGCAUAUGGAGGUUCCCAGGCUAGGGAUCGAAUCAAAGCUAGAGCUGCCGGCCUACACCAGAGCCACAGCAACAUGGGAUCCGAGCCGCAUCUGCGACCUACACCACAGCUCACAGCAAUGCCAGAUCCUUAACCCACCGAGGGAGGCCAGGGAUUGAACCCAAAACCUCAUGGUUCCUAGUCGGAUUCAUUUCUGCUGCACCACAAUGGGAACUCCUGACUUCUUGACAGGAAGCUUUUCUACACCAAGAAAUAAGGACCCUGAGGAUGUCACCAUGAAUGACACUCAGGGAAAUCUGAAUCAAACAAACAACAGUGGUGAUAAAGGGUAUGUAGAAGGUGGAAAAGCACAGGCUUUGCACUCAGACAGAUAUGGUCAACAUGUUUACACUCACUUUCUAGCUGAGUGACCUUGGACAAGUUAUUCAACCUCUCAGAGCUUCAGUUUCUUCAUCUGUCAAAUGGGAUAAUAACACAGGCUUGUUGUCACCACGAAAUGAGAAAUUACAUAAAUUAUGAAGCUCUGGCUGGUACACAAGAUGUGUCCUGUCACUCGUCAGUGAUGUUAUCAUCACCAUCACCAUAAUUUUUUUUUUUUUAAUGGCCGAAGGUGUGGCAUAUGGAAUUUCCCAGGCUAGUGGUCGAAUUGGACCUGCAGCUGCUGGCCUAUGCCACAGGCACAGCAACAGCACUGCGGGAUCCAAGCUGCAUCUUCGACCUACACCACAAUGUCUGGCAAUGCCGGGUCCUUAACCCACUGAGCGGAGCCAGAGAUCGGACCUUCAUCCUCAUAGAUAGGAGUCAGGUUCCUUUCCACUGAGCCUCAACGGGAACUCCAUCAUCGCCAUCAUUAUUGACAGUCCUUGCCUGCAAGGAGCCCACACCACAGUCUGCUAGGGAGGAAUGACAGGUUUCAGAGCUCUAAUUAGAGAACAAGGUGUCUACAACUAGAUGGAUGGUACAGAUGAGUAUUCAGAGAAGGAGGAGACAGGACCAGCUCCAAGGAGCAGGUGGAGCACAGCCAUGAGGAGACGGUGGAAGCAGCAGUGUGGUGGGAGACGGGAGGGCUUGGUGCAGGGACAGCAGGCAGACCCUGGGUGGGGGACACUCUAUGAGAGGAACUCAGGGGCUGCAGACUUUGGCACCAAAGGUUAGAGGCGGUGACAGUGGACAGAAAGUGAACAGUUCACAGAAUGCAGACACGCAGAAGCCAAUCCUACCCUAAAUGGGUGUGGAGAACCUGGGCAAGUUUGGUCAGAUCCUGAACAGUGUGGGGUAUUAGUUACACUAAGGCAGGAUCGAGCACUCCCUUGGCUAAAUAUAAAUAGUUCCUGCCCUUCACACGCCAACACCGAGAUGUUGAAACUCCAGAGAGACGCAACAUGUCAUCUCAUGGUUAUGGUCCGCCUCAGACUAACACCUGGCCCUAUAACCAACCUGAGAACAGCAACUUGGUUUCUCCCUCUGUAAAGGAAGACUAGUCUCAGCACAUCCUGCCUCCCACGUCACAGGAUGGCACGUGGACACCGCGUGAGAUCAUGGGUCCCAAGUUGAGAACAAUAGCCAUCUGAAUGAGCUUUUGUGGAGCUAGCUGGGUGCUAGCAUCAGGUGAAGGCGUAAACCCUCUCAGAGCUCCUGCCUCUUCUUGCCUCAGAGGACUUCUCUGCAGAUCACAUGAGAAAACACAUGGUAAGAAGAAAGCAUAACGUGCCAAAUAUAACUUAACUCCGGAUGAAACCAAACAACCGCCAAGAUGCACUUCUGCUGCAUUUUUAUUUUUAAUAACUUUUUAUGUAGAAAGAGGAGAAAAUUUAAUUCUAAAAUUUAAGAGAGGAGUUCCCAUUAUGGCCCAGUGGAAAUGAAUCUGACUUGUACCCAUGAAGAUAUAGGUUCAAUCCCUGCCCUCACUCAGUUGGUUAAGGACCCGGCAUUGCCGUGAGCUGUGGUGUAGAUCGCAAAUGUAGCUUGGACCUAGUGUUGCUGUGGCUGUAGCAUAGGCCAGCAGCUGUAGCUCCAAUUCAACCCCUAGCCUGGGAACUCCAUAUGCCAUGGGUACAGCCCUAAAAAAAAGUAAAAUUAAGAGAGAAUUUUUUUUUUUGGCCAUGUCCAUGGCAUGCAGAAGUUCCCAAGCCACAGCAUUAACCCAAGCCUCAGCUUUCACAACGCCAGAUCCUUAANNNNNNNNNNNNNNNNNNNNNNNNNNNNNNNNNNNNNNNCUGAACCACCAGGGAACUCCUGAGAGAAAAUUUAAAUCAUUUGUUUCCUCACCAUUCAAAAAUAAGUAGGAGUUACCAUUGUGGCUCAGCAGUAAUGAAUCCAACUUGUAUCCGUGAGAAUGCAGGUUCGAACCCUGGCCUUGCUCAGUGAGUCAGGGACCCAGCGUUGCCGUGAGCUGUGGUGUAGGUAGCAGAUGCAGCUGAGAUCCCAUGUUGCUGUGGCUGUGGCAUAGGCCUGAGGCUACAGCUCCGAUUCAACCCCUAGCCUGGGAAUUUCCAUAUGCCAUGAAUACUGCCCUAAAAAGACAAAAGAAAUAAAAAGAAAUAUGUGUAUAAGUUAUAUACUUUAUUGGCAAAAAUAGAAAGUAUAAAUACUGUUUUACACCCUGCUCCUUUCACUGACCAAAUAACUUUUCUGUUAAUUAUGCAGUCUUUCUACAAUAAGGUUUUAUUUUUUGCUCACGCCCACAGUAUGCGGAAGUUUCCAGGCCAGAAUACACACACACACACACACACACACACACACACAUAUAUAGGAGUUCCCAUCAUGGCUCAGUGGUUAACGAACACAGCUAGGAUCCACAAGGAUGCAGGUUCAAUCCCUGGCCUUGCUGAGUGGGUUAAGGAUCCGGCAUGGCCAUGAGCUGUGGUGUAGAUCACAGACACGUCUCAGAUCGAGCAUUGCUGUGGCUUGGUAUAGGUCGGUGGCUACAGCUCCAAUUCACCCUCCAGCCUGGGAACUUCCAUAUGCCACAGGUGCGGCCCUAAAAGGACAACAACAACAAAAGAGGAAGAAGAAGACAAUAGGCAGAUGAUGGGAAUAAGACUUGGUCCAUAAGAAGUCAAGCUAGAAUCAAAUUCAGGUCUGAGUACAAAGGCUGGGUUCUUCGUGGUGGAAGCGCACAGAGAAAAUAUAGUGUCUAAGCUAGCAGAGGAUGAGGCUGAUGAUGAAAAAAAUUUACAGUUUCUAAAUUUUUUUUUAAAUUUUAGUUUUCAUUUUUUGUUGGCCACUCUCAUGGCAUGCAAAAGUUCCCAGGCCAGGGAUUGAAACUGCACCACAGCUGCAACCCAAGCUGCAGUGACAAAGCCAGAUCCUUAACCACUAGGCUACCAAGGAACUCCUUUGUGCACUUUUUAGACUCAAAAUGUUUAUGUAUGUUUCCCCAUGGUUGAACAAAGCGUGGAGCUCUCAUGGACCAAUGAAUGCAGACAUGUCCAGACAGCACAUAAAAGCCACCUUGUUCACUUACAAGUGUUGACAAUGACAGGAGUGGGCAAUGACUAUUUAUGAGAAGUAUGUGGAUUUCCCAGUGCUUAUUUAUACUUUAUGAAUUUGAAAUUAUGUUUAGACCUGCUACAACCCUCACCCAUCACCUAUUUCAAACUUACUAAAGAACAUUAAUUCUAAAAACUGGACACAUUUCUGAGUCUUCACUCAACUAAAGAAUAUGAUAAGUUUUCAAGGGUUUUUUGUUUGUUUUGGGUUUUUUUUUUUUUUCCUCUUUUUAGGGCCGAACCUGGCAUAUGGACGUUCCUACGCUAGGGGUCGAAUCUGAGCUAUGGCUGCUGGCCUAUGCCAAAGCCACAGCAAUGGGGGAUUUGAACCGUGUCUAUGGCCUACACUACAGCUCAUGGCAACACCCAAUCCUUAACCCACUGAGCAUGGCCAGGAAUCAUUCUCAUGGAUACUAGCUGGGUUCAUUAUCACUGAGCCACAAUGGGAACUCCAGUUUUUAAGUUUUUUUUAAACUUAAAUAUGUAACAAUUUUAAGUCAUGGAAAAAUACCAAAUUAUGUUUAAUAACUCUGAAAAUAUAUUAGAGAGAUACUAAUAAAAUGUUGGAGGGACAGGAGAAACUUCAAGGGAAGAUGAUUAAGAACAAUGAAGAAGGAGUUCCUGUCGUGGCGCAGUGGUUAAUGAAUCCGACUAGGAACCAUGAGGUUGCGGGUUUGGCCCCUGCCCUUGCUCAGUGGGUUAAGGAUCCGGGGUCGCCGUGAGCUGUGGUGUAGGUCACAGACGCGGCUGGGAUCCUGCGUUGCGUGGCUGUGGCGUAGGCCGGCGGCUACAGCUCUGAUUUGAUCCCUAGCCUGGGAAUCUCCAUAUGCCACGGGAGCGGCCCAAGAAAUGGCAAAAAGACAAAACAACAACAACAACAACAACAACAACGAAGAGGAGUUCCUGUCGUGGCACAGCGGAAACGAAUCCGACUAGGAACCAUGAGGCUUCGGGUUCGAUCCCUGGCCUUGCUCAGUGGGUUAAGGAUCCAGCGUUUCCGUGAGCUAUGGUGUAGGUCACAGACAUGGCUUGGACCUGGUGUUGCUGUGGCUGUAGUGUAGGCUGGCGGCUACAGCUCCGAUUCGACCCUUAGCCUAGGAACCUCCAUAUGCCAUAGGAGCAGCAAGAAAAGACUAAGAAAAAGAGAGAGAGAAAGGGAAGGACUAAUCAGAUAGAACCAUGAUGCUGGACUAGUCGCUAAGCUAUACCUGAAGUGAACGAGCAUAAAGGUAGGAACUAUGGAAUUAUCACUGGGCACCACAUGACGAGGUACUGGGGACAAUACUUAGACAUACUGAAUACGCAAACUCCUGCCAAGCUGGAAAGGCUUCCCUCCACACACUCAGUGUUUGCCACCCUUACUCUAUUUAGAGAGUUGUAUACAGAAGAACCUAGAGAGAAGACAUAGGAAAAUUCAAUGCAAAGAUAGCUUUUAUGUUGAUGGUACCAAAGUUAAAUUACUGAUACCAAUUCCCCUGGAAACAAUCCAUCUUUAUUUUUCUAAGAUACAUCCAGAUGGACAACUUGGUCUCAACAUAAACUGGAAUCCAUCCAUUCAGUCAACAAAAAUUUAUUGGGUAGUGACUGUGUAUCAGGCAUUGUUUCAGGCAAUGAGAAUACUGAAGUGGGAGAAGGGAAGACAGUCCCUGCUUUUAGGGAGUUAUGUUCUGGUAAGAGGAAGACAUCCGGAUAAACUCUAUAUUCGCUGGUGAUAAGUGCCGAAGAGAAAAAUGUCAGUAGCCAUAUAUAGGGAUGUCCUGGAGGAAUGGGAGGUUGCCAUCUUAAACACAGCCAUCAGAGAAGGUCUUCUCAAAAAAAGGCGACUUCUGGAGUUCCCGUCGUGGCGCAGUGGUUAAUGAAUGCAACUAGGAACCAUGAGGUUUCCGGUUCAAUCCCUGGCCUUGCUCAGGGGGUUAAGGAUCUGGCGUUGCCGUGAGCUGUGGUGUAGGUAGUAGAGGCGGCUUGGAUCCCACUUUGCUGUGGCUGUGGUGUAGGUCCAAUUAGACCCCUAGCCUGGGAAUCUCCAUAUGCCAAGGGAAGUGGCCCUAGAAAAAGGCCAAAAAAAAAAAAAGCGACUUUAGGCUUAAAAACCGUGAAGGGAGGGAGGCAGCCAUGCAGAAUUAUGUGAGGGAAAAACAUUCCCUUUAGCAGGCUCGGAGGCCCUGAAGAGGGAGCAGACCAGAUACAGCAAGAGGACCAGUGCAGCUGAAACAGGGAGCAAGGGAACGUGGUAGGAGUUGAGGACAGAGUGAUAGUGGGUGGAGGGACAGAUUAUGCAGCGCUGUGGAGGCUGGUCUAAAACCUCUGUUUUGGGAGCUCCCAUUGUGGCACAGCGGAAAUGAACAUGACUCGUGUCCAUGAGGGUGUAGGUUCGAUCCCUGGCCUCCCUCAGCGGGUCAAGGAUUCGGUGUUUCUGUGAGCUGUGGUAUAGGUCACAGAUGUGGCUGAGAACCCACGUUGCUGUAGCUAUGGCACAGGCCAGCAGCUGCAGCUCUGAUUCCACUCCUAGCCCGGGAAUCUCCAUAUGCCGCAGGUGCGGCCCUAAAAAGCAAAAAUAAAAAUAAAAAUAGAAGCUCUGUUUUGGGAGUUCCCAUUGCAGGUCAGAAGCUUAAGGACCUAACUAGUAUCCAUAAGGAUGCAGGUUUGAUCCCUGGCCUCUCUCAGGAGGUUAACAAUCCUGCAUUGCCAAGAGACCCCUAGCCUGGGAACUUCCAUAUGAUGCAGGUAUGCCCCCCCCCAAAAAAAAAACCCCUCUGUUUUGGAGCUCAUCUGGUGGCUCAGCGGCUUAAGGAUCCAGCAUUGUCACUGCUGUGGCUUGGGCUGGCCCAGGAACAUUCACAUGCUAUGGGUGCAGCCAAAAAAAAAAAAAAAAAAAAAAAAAAAAA